GUCAUGGAGAGCUCAGGUGGUAGAGCAUGAGACUCUUAAUCUCAGAGCUGUGGGUUCAAGUCCCACACUGGGCA